CGCGUAGACGGUUUUUUAAGUCUGGAGUGAAAGUCCUGCUUUCAAGGUGGGAAUUGCUUUGGAGACUGGAAGGCUUGAGUGCGGAAGAGGAUAGUGGAAUUCCAAGUGUAGCGGUGAAAUGCGUAGAUAUAGGAAGGAACACCAGUGGCGAAGGCGACCACCUGGACUGAUACUGACACUGAGGUGCGAAAGCGUGGGGAGCAAACA
rnacentral:rRNA from 1 species